ACAGGUGGUGCAUGGUUGUCGUCAGCUCGUGUCGUGAGAUGUUGGGUUAAGUCCCGCAACGAGCGCAACCCCUGUGGUUAGUUGCCAGCAAGUAGCGUUGGGCACUCGAGCCAGACUGCCGGUGAUAAAUCGGAGGAAGGUGGGGACGACGUCAAAUCAUCAUGCCCUUUAUGUCCUGGGCUACACACGUACUACAAUGGCCGUUACAACGGGAAGCGAAGGAGCAAUCCGGAGCAAAUCCCUUAAAGGCGGUCCCAGUUCAGAUUGUGGGCUGAAACUCGCCCACAUGAAGGCGGAAUUGCUAGUAAUUGCAGAUCAGCAUGCUGCAGUGAAUACGUUCCCGGGCCUU
rnacentral:rRNA from 1 species